UUCUGGACAAGUCGGUUCUGAGGAGGUUUCAUGCCACCAGAGCUUCGGGUUCCUCGGGACCGCCGGGUGGCGGUCAUUGAGGGAGGGGUAAUGUUAGGAUUCAAGUUGGUGUGAGUGCUCCUCCGAAUAGACAAUCUUCGUGGGAGCGUUCCGGCAGGCUGACGCACCUGAAGCGGAUUUCUGAAAUCGGCUGCAGGAUUCUUAAGAAGCGGUGGAGCAGCCAUUCAUCGCUCGAUGGUCCCACUUGUUGAUUUUGGAUGCUCUGCCUGGAUCCAGCUAAGUUACCACGCCCACCCGAACACUGACACCGAUCGCCCUCCGGACUAGACGCUCUCGUCUGCCGCCUGAGCCCGCAACCUUCUCGGAGCCUUUGCACCAACGGAUCCUACCUCCUCCUCGGCAAUCCUCCAUCAGAUGAUCUUACCUGAGCCGCCCAGCCGCUCCCGAAACCAGAGGACAACUUAGGCUCAACAUAUUCCAUAAU